ACGAACGCUGGCGGCGUGCCUAAUACAUGCAAGUAGAACGCUGAAGAGAGGAGCUUGCUCUUCUUGGAUGAGUUGCGAGCGGGUGAGUAACGCGUAGGUAACCUGCCUUGUAGCGGGGGAUAACUAUUGGAAACGAUAGCUAAUACCGCAUAACAAUGGAUGACACAUGUCAUUUAUUUGAAAGGGGCAAUUGUUCCACUACAAGAUGGACCUGCGUUGUAUUAGCUAGUAGGUGAGGUAAUGGCUCACCUAGGCGACGAUACAUAGCCGACCUGAGAGGGUGAUCGGCCACACUGGGACUGAGACACGGCCCAGACUCCUACGGGAGGCAGCAGUAGGGAAUCUUCGGCAAUGGGGGCAACCCUGACCGAGCAACGCCGCGUGAGUGAAGAAGGUUUUCGGAUCGUAAAGCUCUGUUGUAAGUCAAGAACGGGUGUGAGAGUGGAAAGUUCACACUGUGACGGUAGCUUACCAGAAAGGGACGGCUAACUACGUGCCAGCAGCCGCGGUAACACGUAGGGCCCGAGCGUUGCCCGGAUUUAUUGGGCGUCACGCGAGCGCUGGCGGUUUGAUAAGUCUGAAGUUAAAGGCUGUGGCUCAACCAUAGUUCGCUUUGGAAACUGUCAAACUUGAGUGCAGAAGGGGAGAGUGGAAUUCCAUGUGUAGCGGUGAAAUGCGUAGAUAUAUGGAGGAACACCGGUGGCGAAAGCGGCUCUCUGGUCUGUAACUGACGCUGAGGCUCGAAAGCGUGGGGAGCGAACAGGAUUAGAUACCCUGGUAGUCCACGCCGUAAACGAUGAGUGCUAGGUGUUGGAUCCUUUCCGGGAUUCAGUGCCGCAGCUAACGCAUUAAGCACUCCGCCUGGGGAGUACGACCGCAAGGUUGAAACUCAAAGGAAUUGACGGGGGCCCGCACAAGCGGUGGAGCAUGUGGUUUAAUUCGAAGCAACGCGAAGAACCUUACCAGGUCUUGACAUCCUUCUGACCGCACCUUAAUCGGUGCUUUCCUUCGGGACAGAAGAGACAGGUGGUGCAUGGUUGUCGUCAGCUCGUGUCGUGAGAUGUUGGGUUAAGUCCCGCAACGAGCGCAACCCCUAUUGUUAGUUGCCAUCAUUCAGUUGGGCACUCUAGCGAGACUGCCGGUAAUAAACCGGAGGAAGGUGGGGAUGACGUCAAAUCAUCAUGCCCCUUAUGACCUGGGCUACACACGUGCUACAAUGGUUGGUACAACGAGUUGCGAGUCGGUGACGGCGAGCUAAUCUCUUAAAGCCAAUCUCAGUUCGGAUUGUAGGCUGCAACUCGCCUACAUGAAGUCGGAAUCGCUAGUAAUCGCGGAUCAGCACGCCGCGGUGAAUACGUUCCCGGGCCUUGUACACACCGCCCGUCACACCAUGAGAGCCGGGGGGACCCGAAGUCGGUAGUCUAACCGCAAGGAGGACGCCGCCGAAGGUAAAACUGGUGAUUGGGGUG
rnacentral:rRNA from 1 species